GCAAUGUGUGUGAGAAAACAAACAUGGAGACCAGCGCUGCAAGGUAUGGGAGGCAUUAGAAGACACUGAAACCGUGAUCCUGCUGGAGAAAGGGGAAACAGCUGAGUAUGCUAAAAGUAGGAGCUAAGGAUACUGAGAGACUUUCAAGAUACUGGGAGAACUGACAAGUCUGAAAAUUGGAAAGAUUUUCCUAAAGUGAGUAAACGAUUUCAGAGUGAAAUAACCAUAAUUGAAAAUGUUCUGAUUUCUAAUUUUCCGUAUGUUUGACUAAGCUUAUUGCUUUCACUGCAGAUAUAGUCAUAGUACCAGGAAGGCAGCAGACAUUUAAGAAUUGUGCCUAGCCUUGAGAGACUCUGUUAUAAGGCAUACACAGUUCCCACAGUGUUGUUUUUUUUUUUUUUUUUUUUUCCCCCCUUUAACUACAAUAGUGAAUGAGAGCUUCUGGUUGAUUCUCUGCAAAUACAUUUGAUAUAUUUUAUGCAUAAACACAAUGGAAACUUUUGUCCCUUGGAAUAAAAACUGUGCAUGUGUUCUGUCUUGGCA
rnacentral:lncRNA from 1 species